CUCGCUGCUGAACAGGAGUGUACACGUGUGUCUAGCACGCAGGACGAUGUGCUUUCUUCGCCAUUCCGAGUUGACGGACCUCGCUCUCCCGAACUGCCUGAAACCAGCAGCAGUGACUAGAGGGCCGCACUCCCAACUUCCUGUUCAUAACUUGGACAAACGACUUCAGUUGUCGCAGUUGGUGGAUAGUUCGCUCGGAGGUCCCGUCCAGAGUUCCGUUGCCCCGGUAACAGGAUGGAUGCGAGUUUGCGGAGGAUCCGCUUGAUGAGAGAUGCCCACUUUGUCGUAGUUGGUGGAUAGUUCGCUCGGAGGUCCCGUCCAGAGUUCCGUUGCCCCGGUAACAGGAUGGAUGCGAGUUUGCGGAGGAUCCACUUGAUGAGAUGCCCACUUUGUCGUAGUUGGUGGAUAGUUUGCUCAGAGGUCCCGUCCAGAGUUCCGUUGCCCCGGUAACAGGAUGGAUGCGGAGGAUCAGCUUGAUGGGAGAUGCCCAUUUUGUCAUGGUUACAGUGGGUAGUUUGCCCCGAAGACUCCUCCAGAAUCCUGUUGACCCGGUAACCGGAUGGAUGCGAGUUUGCGGAGGAUCAGCACAAUUGACGCUGUUACAGUGAAUAGUUUUCCCAGAGGUCCCGUCGCCCUGGUAACAGGAUGGAUGGGGGUUUGUGGAGGAUAAGCAUAAUGGGGGAAAUAAUGGCCCACUAACGCCUUAUGGGUCACCGACUGCACUCCACAGCUGAUUGGUUAGAGGCUGACGUGGUCACAUGGAGCAAGCUGAUUGGCCAGUUGGAACAUGAACAGGCAUCACCCAAUCAGGCCCUCCUACAAGAAGACGACACUAAAUCAGAUUUGGGGAUGUUGCUAAAGCCUACCUUACACGGACAAGAUUUGGGAAAGAUUCUUCUAAGAUUGUAGUCUUUUAACUAAUGCCCCUCAAUUGAGUUCUACUUAAAAGACUACAAUGUUUCAAGAAUCUUUCCCAAAUCGUGUUAGUGUAAGGUAGGCUUAAGUCGCAGGUUCAUGAAGGUGUAGAGGUGUUAUCGUAAAGCGAUGCGGCCCGGCCCUCGUAAUAGUGUUGACUUGGAAGUCACUUUGGGUUAUAAAUGUCUGCUACAUCUUAGUACAUUAAGUAUUGAAUUAAUUGCAUGUAAAUGUAAAACACUUGAUGCUGAAUUAACUUCAUCGAAAUGUAUACACUUGAUGCUGAAUUGAGUGCUUCAGUGCUGACCUUUUGAAUGUACGCCUUGAACCUUUACCUUUUCAAUGUACCCCACAAUGGUUUAUUAAAACAAGGUA